rnacentral:rRNA from 1 species
GGAUUCCCCUAGUAAGGGCGACUGAAGCGGGAAGAGCUCACCUUGUGAAUCUGUGCAACUCUUGGAGUUGUGCUGAAUUGUGGUCUGGAGAAGCAUUGUCGGCCGUGACUCUUAAGAAGAUCCCUUGGAACAGGGUAGCUAAGAGGGUGACACUCCCGUUCAUAUUUGGAUGUCACGUGCCAUAGUACAUGCCUUCAAUGAGUCGAGUUGCUUGGGAUUGCAGCUCUAAGCAGGUGGUAAAUUCCAUCUAAAGCUAAAUAUUGGUGGGAGACCGAUAGCAAACAAGUACCGUGAGGGAAAGAUGCAAAGAACUUUGAAAAGAGAGUUAAAGAGUACCUGAAAUUGCUGAAAGGGAAGCGAAGGAAACCAGUGUUGGGCUCAGUCAUACUUCUCGUGCCACUUGUGGCAAGGGCGCUGUGUUUGGGCACAUGUCAGGGUCAGUUCAUGAUUGGAAGAGAUGUUGUUUCAACAGGUAGCCCCCUUGUGGGGUCUUUAAUUGAGACUUUUGAUUCUGGUCAGUGCUGAGGCAGUUACAUUUUG